UACGAAGGGUGCAAGCGUUAAUCGGAAUUACUGGGCGUAAAGCGUGCGUAGGCGGUUUGUUAAGUCUGUUGUGAAAUCCCCGGCGUCAACCUGGGAAUGGCAAUGGAUACUGGCAAGCUAGAGUGUGAUAGAGGAUGGUGGAAUUCCCGGUGUAGCGGUGAAAUGCGUAGAGAUCGGGAGGAACAUCAGUGGCGAAGGCGGCCAUCUGGAUCAACACUGACGCUGAGGCACGAAAGCGUGGGGGAGCAAACAGG
rnacentral:rRNA from 1 species